rnacentral:rRNA from 1 species
UACAGGGGGUGCAAACGUUGCUCGGAAUUAUUGGGCGUAAAGCGCACGUAGGCGGUUUGUUAUGUCGGAUGUGAAAGCCCUUGGCUCAACUGAGGAAGUGCAUCCGAAACUGGCAAGCUAGAGUAUGUAAGAGGGUCGCGGAAUUCCCGGUGUAGAGGUGAAAUUCGUAGAUAUAUGGAGGAACACCAGUGGCGAAGGCGGUCGACUGGCCUAUCACUGACGUUUAGGCACGAAAGCGUAGGGAGCAAAUAGG